UGCCAAGCCCGAACGACGCCUCUACAUCGCCGCCCAGCAGUGCCGAAGCCGCGCCGACGCAGCCCUGCACCAAAGCAGCUCCGACACCGACGAGCCCGCGCACGCCGACUCCGCCAACGCCUGGAGCCGACCCCGCCGAGUGAAUCGCCGCGCACGGUGGCGCUCUGUUUUUUGUAAAUCGCCGGAUUUGCAGCGUCUUUUGAGAGCGGGAACGACCAAGUUUGAAUUUCCCGCAUCCUGGGGCCGGCACGUGGGGGCGUGACUGGGAGCUAGGUCGCCCCCAGGGGCCGAACUAGCGCCAGCACGCUCCCAGGCCGCUCUAUUUAGGCGCCCUGGGGGGCCGAACGGCUGGAGAUGCCCUUAGUGGCAGGCAGAAACAAAGGAUUCAGAUAGCUCGAGCAUUGUGAUGUAUGCUGACAACUAUUUUGUUCCAUGAUCCGUUCAACACAAUUGAUGCUCAUAUAGGACCCCAAUUUUCCAAGAUCGAUGGUUUCGCCGCGGUCGUCGGGAGAAAUAUCAUCAAUGGUACGGGAAAAGCAGGUAGGCUGAGGCGGGCACCCACACCAAGCGUCCGACCCAGGAAGGCAGCCCUGCAGCUCCGCCUCGUGCCACUCCCCAUCUCUAUGUUGGUGUCAGACCCACCGCAAGGUAGAGGCAGAAGAGGAGGUCGGGAAGAGAAGCUGCAAGGUAGGAGGCUUUUGAUCUGAAGGCAAGUUGGACGAUCUGCUCACAAAGACACACUACUUGAAAAGAUUGAUCAGAGAAAGUUGUUGAAGUGGAAGAAGCUGAACCUGUAGAAGAGCUGAAAAAAGGACGUGGUAGAAAGAAGGAAGCGAAGCGUAAACAGUAUAAUGAUUACUACCUCGCCAAGCCGCGCAUCCAGGACGCGACGCUUGCUGGAAAGCUGGUCAAGUAGGCCCUCGACUGCGAGUUUUAGCUGAUUGAUCCUGCGCAUUAGCCUAAUUGUUACAAUAAACGGACUUACAACAAUGAUGCUUUCUAUAUUGAAUUCUUAUAUCCGACCUCAUCAUUGCUUAGUUUCCUUUCCUGAUGUCAAGACACAAAGAAUUUGAGAUUCAAUUUAUCUUUUUUAGUUUUCACACUAGAGUGCUUCAUUUAUAUGUAUUACUGUAGACACAUGGGAAUCCUCAAGGUGUCAGGCUUGUUCUUAUUAUUGCUCAUGCAACCCUAAACUUUAGUUAAAUGUACUACUUUUCAGGUUUUAGUGUCUGGAUCAUCAGUACAAAAUAGAGUCGAUGGUAUAUGUCAAUUCUGUAUUGGUUCUAGGCAAGUAGGUUGACAUGUUCAUCUGUUAUCAUGAGUGUCGUGUUUACACUUGCAGUUCAGAUAUUAAGCUUAAGCUAAAGAUCUGACUGUACUGUCUAGAGGUGGAAUGGGUAAGCUGUCUUUAUGCUCCUUUUUGCUGAAUAUCUUGCAAAUGCCACACUAAAGUGGGUAUCAGUCCAGUAUGUUCUUGUGUCUAUGGAUCCGGGAAAUGUUGACGCUUUAUUGGUUUUGGUCACAAAAAUGUUAGCUGUACAUGCUUUCAUCUUGAUUAUAUGGACUUCUUAAGUAAUACUACUUCUCAUUUAGUUCAUUGAAGUAAUGAUACAAUCAAUUGGAUGUUUUUCUACGGUUAUGGAUCUAGCGGAAAAAUGUUGUUUUCACAUCAUUGUUUUAAUCCAAUGUUCAGCUUUCAUGCUAUAAGCUUUACUGCUUUAGACAUUUUCGUAGGAAAUGCUGAACGUUCGUAUCAAUUGAAUUAAUGUGGCCUUACAUGUAGUGCCGGUACUGUUAAAUUUGUAGAUAUCUUAUCUUAUUCAGCAGUAACUUUAUUUUCUUUUCACUUCUUUUUUAUAAAUGUCAUGAAGUCAGUUAUAAUAGUGAUUUCUUUUCCUUCUGAAAGAAAUUGUUUGUCUGCUUUUGGUUUCAAUUUUAAGGCCAGCUCGGUACAAUCUGCAACUACUUAUAGACUACUUCAUCUGGAUGGGUUUGCAACUCUUUGUACAGUUUGCUUCAAUACCUCUGUUACCAUUCUAUUGUCUGCUGCUAUUUUUCCAUUUGUUCAGUUGCUACCUCUACCCACCAAGUUGAUUUUCUGCAGAUAGAGUUGAAGGUGAGGGUCGUCUAUGGGCCAUCGUCCGACAUGGUGGCCAACAAGUUGAGGUGAACGUAGGCAACGUUGGUCAUGCUCAAUAGCAAUUGUUUUGGAGACACAGGAGAAGACUUGGGGCGACGUAGCAGUGUGUGGGGCGGGCGGCGUGUCGGGAAAGGCCACAACAACACCUGCGCUUCAAUCAAUUACGAUGGCCUCUGAUCGAACCAUACUAAGCGAGUGUAAAGGAAUUGACAAAGUGCAAAAUUGUUCAAAGAAAUAUGACUUGGGGCGACGUAGCAGUGUGUGGGGCGGGCGGAGCGCCGGGAAAGGCCACAGCAACACCUGCGCUUCAAUCGAUUACGAUGGCCUCUGAUCGAACCAUACUAAGCCAGUGUAAAGGAAUUGACAAAGUGCAAAAGUGUUCAAAGAAAUAUAGAGGGUGGUCCCACAUCUCAAAAUAGAGGGAGAACUCAGUUGUGUCAUUUUAUCCAACUAUAUAUCAAACAUGUGCUUUUUUUGUCAA